GUGGGUAUAGCUCAGUGGUAGAGUGCGUGCUUAGCAUGCACAAGGUUCUGGGUUCAAUCCCCAGUACCUCUG
rnacentral:tRNA from 1 species